rnacentral:rRNA from 1 species
UUCCGGUUGAUCCUGCCGGACCUUACUGCUAUUGGGGCGAGACUAAAACAUGCAAGUUGUGCGUCCUGAGCUAUGGCAGGGCGCAGCGUACGGCUCAGUAACACGUGGCUAACCUACCUUUAGGAUGGGAAUAACCCUGGGAAACUGGGACUAAUUCCAGAUAGGUGAGGGGGCCUGGAACGGUUCCUCACUGAAAAGGCGUCAGAGCCAUGCUUUCUGAUGCUGCCUAAAGAUGGGGCCGCGGCCGAUCAGGUUGUUGGUGAGGUAAUGGCUCACCAAGCCUAUAACCGGUACGGGCCAUGAGAGUGGUAGCCCGGAGAUGGGCACUGAGACAAGGGCCCAGGCCCUACGGGGCGCAGCAGUUGCGAAAACUCCGCAAUGCGCGAAAGCGUGACGGGGUUACCCCAAGUGCCGUCCGCUGAGGAUGGCUUUUCUCUGGUGUAAUGAGCCGGAGGAAUAAGGGGAGGGCAAGACUGGUGUCAGCCGCCGCGGUAAUACCAGCUCCCCGAGUGGUGAGGACAAUUAUUGGGCUUAAAGCGUUCGUAGCCGGCUUGACAAGUCUUCCGUUAAAUCCAGCGACCUAAUCGUUGGGCCGCGGGAGAUACUACCAAGCUAGGGGGCGGGAGAGGCUGACGGUACUCUCGGGGUAGGGGUGAAAUCCUAUANUCCUGAGAAGACCACCAGUGGCGAAGGCGGUCAGCUAGAACGCGCUCGACGGUGAUGGACGAAAGCUGGGGUAGCGAACCGGAUUAGAUACCCGGGUAGUCCCAGCUGUAAACGAUGCGGGCUAGGUGUUGGGGCGGAUACGAGCCGCUUCAGUGCCGUAGGGAAACUGUUAAGCCCGCCGCCUGGGAAGUACGGUCGCAAGGCUGAAACUUAAAGGAAUUGGCGGGGGAGCACUACAAGGCGUGAAGCUUGCGGUUUAAUUGGAGUCAACGCCGGGAACCUUACCGGAGGAGACAGCAGGAUGAAGGUCAGAUUGAAGGUCUUACCAGACAAGCUGAGAGGAGGUGCAUGGCCGUCGCCAGUUCGUGCCGUGAGGUGUCCUGUUAAGUCAGGCAACGAUCGAGACCCGCGCUCCUGGUUGCUACUGGAUCCCGUUGGGAUCCGGGCACACAAGGGGGACCGCCGCCGAUAAGGUGGAGGAAGGAGCGGGCCACGGCAGGUCAGUAUGCCCUGAAUCCUCCGGGCCACACGCGAGCUGCAAUGGUAGGGACAGAGGGUUCCGACUCCGAAAGGAGGAGGCAAUCCCUAAACCCUAUCUCAGUUGGGAUCGAGGGCUGAAACUCGCCCUCGUGAACAUGGAAUGCCUAGUAAUCGCGUGUCAUCAUCGCGCGGUGAAUACGUCCCUGCUCCUUGCACACACCGCCCGUCGAUCCAGCCGAGUGAAGUUUGGAUGAGGCGCAGUCUUUUAGGUUGUGUCGAAUCUAGGUUUUGCAAGGGGGGAUAAGUCGUAACAAGGUAACC